rnacentral:rRNA from 1 species
GACGAACGCUGGCGGCGUGCCUAAUACAUGCAAGUCGAGCGCUGAAGGUUGGUACUUGUACCGACUGGAUGAGCAGCGAACGGGUGAGUAACGCGUGGGGAAUCUGCCUUUGAGCGGGGGACAACAUUUGGAAACGAAUGCUAAUACCGCAUAAAAACUUUAAACACAAGUUUCAAGAUUGAAAGAUGCAAUUGCAUCACUCAAAGAUGAUCUCGCGUUGUAUUAGCUAGUUGGUGAGGUAAAGGCUCACCAAGGCGAUGAUACAUAGCCGACCUGAGAGGGUGGUCCGCCCCCUUGGGACUGGAGCCCCGCCCCAGCCUCUUCGGGGGGCAACAGGAGGGGAUCUUCGGCAAUGGGCGGAAGUCUGGACGGACCACGCCGGGUGGGGUGAGGAGGGUUUCCGGUCGUUAAACUCUGUUGGUUGGGAAGAACGUUGGUGAGAGUGAAAAGCUCAUCAAGUGACGGUACCUACCCAGAAAGCGACGGCUAACUACGUG